GCGGCAAAGUCGAAAGAUAAUACGCAUUAUUAUUUCUACAUAAUUUCUUGUGAUAUUUUGAUAUAUAUUUGUUGUAUUAAGUUAUUUGUUUACAAAUAUUAUCUUGUUGAUCGGGAUCGUGAAUGAUCUAGAAAAAAAUAGUUACAAAUUAUAUGAAAAAUUGUUCGAAGAAAAGAACACCGAAUAAAAAAAGAAAGAAGAAGAGAGAAUAUAAUCAGGCAAGUAUAUGCAUGUUUGAUUAUCUUUGUUCGAAUAUAAUUUUAAAAUAAUUGAAAUGAUAUUAAAAAAUAGACGGUAGAAAAUGAUGCAGAAAUGUGCAUGUGCACUUUUAUUUAUUAUUACGUAGGAUGCAACCACUACGUUUAGGUUAGAAAUGACGUUAGUUCUUGCAUAAGAAGAAGAAUAAUAUUGAUCGAUAUUAAUAAUGAUAUAUAUUAAUUAUGAUCGUUAUUAAUUAUAUGCAUUGAUGUCAUAUGCAUUACAAAUAGACGGAUAUGUGUCAUUAUGUAUGUUUGUAUCUAUGUGGGUACAGGUAGAUACAUAUAUGUAUAUAUAUGCAUAUAUAUAUAUAUACUUUAUUGGUCCAGCUGUGUAACUACAUAGAACUAUUUAUAAAACUUUACAAAAUGCUUCGUGUAUCGUAACAGGAGACCUUGCAAGCUUUUAUUUACAAGGUUAUGAAAUAAUGAAUUGUUUCUAAAUCGAUUUACGUCAAACUACGAUAUAUACAUAUAUGUGUAUGUGUAUAUAUAUAUAUAUAUAUAUAUAUAUAUAUAUAUAUAUAUAUAUAUAUCGCACGCUAUAUCGAUUCCGUUUCGUAGUUAUCGAUGUUGUUAAAGAUGAAAAUUUAUUUAUUUUCUAAAUCUAUGUCGUGAUUGUACAAGUUAGAGAAGAUUUUUUUCUUUUUAUUUAUUUAUAUACGAUUCGAUAGAGACGAUUUUUGAGAUCAUAAUGCGUAUUUAGUUAUAAUGUUGAUUAAUGUGUUUCGAGUUAAUUAGAAUAUUUUUCAUUGAAUCAAGCGAGCUGAAAUUAUAAUGAAAUAAGCAGAUUCACUAUUUAUAUAAUUGAUUACUAAUUAUGGAUGUUGAAAUUGUGUUUUGCUUAUUUCUUUUUUUUUAUAUAUAUAUAUAUAUAUAUUUAUGUAUAUAUAUAUAUAUAUAUAUAUAUAUAUAUAUAUAUAUUUAUAUAUAUUUAAUUUUUCAUCACAACGUAUAGAAUUCAUCAUUCUAAUAAUUUAUUUAUUAAAUUGAUAAUCCAUAUUUUUUUUCUUUAUCUCUUAUUUGCAUUAUAUAUAAAUAUCUGUUACAUUUCUUUUUCCUUUUUUUUUCUCUUUUCUUUUUUUUUUUUUUUUUUUUUUUUUUAAUAUCGUUCUCAACGAAACAAGUUCAAUAUAUUUUUUUAUAAACAUGAUAGAAUUAUUUUUAUGCCAAUGAUAACGCAUUAGAUAAAUUUAAAUUCAACGUAUAUCUCACUUGCUCACUUAUACAAUUAUAUUUUAAUAUUAAACAUAGAAAAAUGUUUUCCCACUUCUUCUUCUUCUUCUUCUUCUUUUUCUUCUUUUUCUUCUUUUUCUUCUUUUCUUUUUCUUCAUUUAUUUUGCUGGAAAAUUUACGUAUAUAUGUGUGUUUACGUAAAGUAUUUGUUUUAUUCGAUAACGUACACCCACGAUAAG